AACAAGGAUAGACUACAUUACAUAUUUAGUAAUCCUGAAGUUAUAGAUGAGUAUAAAGCCAAUUUGGAUAAUAAAAAGAGAUUAUCACCAGUACUUUAUAAUGACGAAGAAGAUAAGUCUUUGAAAGAGAUACUACAAACAUUAAGAAGGAAUGCCGUGUUUCGUUUGAAUAAACCUGAAGACAUCUCUGGCAAUGCUGUUGCACUUCGACUAGGCAAAAAAAUUGGUCAAUCGUUAGAAAAUAUAGAAGAUAAACCAAAAUAUAAUGAGUAUAGUGACAAAGAGCAUUAUCCAAAGAAAGAUACAGAUUUCAAUGCAGCACGCGAUACAAUAACAAAAAAAUAUAAAUGGGCAGAUAGUUUAGAAACUGUUAAAAAAGAUAGAAAAAAGAUCAGACAGAAAAAGAUUGAAGUAGAGAGGCCUAGACCUAAAUUUAAACCUAAGAAAAUUGCACAGGAUUCGCUUCCUUAUAAAAAGAUUAAGAAAUAUACGUCGUACGGACGAACUUCGGUACCUUAUGUUGGUAAAUUGGGAAUUUAUGAGGAGAAAUAAAUGAAUGAUUUAUU